CGAAAAUGGUUGACAAUGCAAAGCUCCUACGAUGUGUUCAUGAUCUACUGAUUUCAAUGGGCAUGGAAAGCAGCUCAGACUCCCCACCGAUCACCUCGGCGUUCAGGGUGCGGAAAUCAGCAACGGCACCAAAUGGAGCACCCAGGGACAUUAUAGUGGUGACCAGGGACGUUGCAGUGAGGUCUGAGAUUAUGACAAGAUCCAGAGAGAUGGGGUCAAUACCCUAUAAAGGCAACAGAGUGGAUAUAUAUGCUGAUCUCCCAUUCUCGGUCCUAACAGUGAGGAGGAAGUUGGCACCAAUUGCCAGAAGACUGCGAGACUCAGCAAUCAGGUACCGCCGAGGUAUGGAGGGAUCCCUCACAGCUGACAAGGUGGGAGAGACAUUCACUCUAACAUCCCUAGAGGAUCCUGAACAAUUCCUGCAAAAAUUAGGCAUGUCCCCCCGUCCACAGCCGAGAACCUCAGCGCCCACACAGAGGACCGAUAAACGGGAGGACACGGCCAAACGCAAAUAUAAACACCAGGAGGUGUUACCAAGGGGUAAUAAUAUCAGCCAAGAGUUCCAGCCUUGAAACCAUGAGUAUUGGACAGACUACACAGUUCCUAGCACACUCAGAAGCUCAUAUGCCUAGACAUUUG